rnacentral:SRP_RNA from 1 species
UAGAGUUGCAUUAACUGUUAAUUGCUGACCUAACGGGUUGGGUUAGGUGCCAUCACGACCUAUGGAUUUUUGGUCGUGAUAUUUCUGGCCUGCCCUGUCCAAGCACGGAGUUGGAUCACGUGGCCCAUGAAAAAGCAUGGGCUGUUGGACUCCUAAAGUGGGGUGGACCGCAUGAGGAUGGUUCCACAAAGCAACGAAUAGCUCCCGCUCUGUAUAGUGGAAGUAUAACGGGUCGGUGUCCUUCAAGUCCAACAAAUGCAUGAUGGGCUGCUCCAAUUAAACCACUACUUUU